GAAACAUCUUCGGGUUGUGAGGUUAAGCGACUAAGCGUACACGGUGGAUGCCCUGGCAGUCAGAGGCGAUGAAGGACGUGCUAAUCUGCGAUAAGCGUCGGUAAGGUGAUAUGAACCGUUAUAACCGGCGAUUUCCGAAUGGGGAAACCCAGUGUGAUUCGUCACACUAUCAUUAACUGAAUCCAUAGGUUAAUGAGGCGAACCGGGGGAACUGAAACAUCUAAGUACCCCGAGGAAAAGAAAUCAACCGAGAUUCCCCCAGUAGCGGCGAGCGAACGGGGAGCAGCCCAGAGCCUGAAUCAGUGUGUGUGUUAGUGGAAGCGUCUGGAAAGGCGCGCGAUACAGGGUGACAGCCCCGUACACAAAAAUGCACAUGCUGUGAGCUCGAUGAGUAGGGCGGGACACGUGGUAUCCUGUCUGAAUAUGGGGGGACCAUCCUCCAAGGCUAAAUACUCCUGACUGACCGAUAGUGAACCAGUACCGUGAGGGAAAGGCGAAAAGAACCCCGGCGAGGGGAGUGAAAAAGAACCUGAAACCGUGUACGUACAAGCAGUGGGAGCACGCUUAGGCGUGUGACUGCGUACCUUUUGUAUAAUGGGUCAGCGACUUAUAUUCUGUAGCAAGGUUAACCGAAUAGGGGAGCCGAAGGGAAACCGAGUCUUAACUGGGCGUUAAGUUGCAGGGUAUAGACCCGAAACCCGGUGAUCUAGCCAUGGGCAGGUUGAAGGUUGGGUAACACUAACUGGAGGACCGAACCGACUAAUGUUGAAAAAUUAGCGGAUGACUUGUGGCUGGGGGUGAAAGGCCAAUCAAACCGGGAGAUAGCUGGUUCUCCCCGAAAGCUAUUUAGGUAGCGCCUCGUGAAUUCAUCUCCGGGGGUAGAGCACUGUUUCGGCAAGGGGGUCAUCCCGACUUACCAACCCGAUGCAAACUGCGAAUACCGGAGAAUGUUAUCACGGGAGACACACGGCGGGUGCUAACGUCCGUCGUGAAGAGGGAAACAACCCAGACCGCCAGCUAAGGUCCCAAAGUCAUGGUUAAGUGGGAAACGAUGUGGGAAGGCCCAGACAGCCAGGAUGUUGGCUUAGAAGCAGCCAUCAUUUAAAGAAAGCGUAAUAGCUCACUGGUCGAGUCGGCCUGCGCGGAAGAUGUAACGGGGCUAAACCAUGCACCGAAGCUGCGGCAGCGACGCUGAUGCGUUGUUGGGUAGGGGAGCGUUCUGUAAGCCUGCGAAGGUGUGCUGUGAGGCAUGCUGGAGGUAUCAGAAGUGCGAAUGCUGACAUAAGUAACGAUAAAGCGGGUGAAAAGCCCGCUCGCCGGAAGACCAAGGGUUCCUGUCCAACGUUAAUCGGGGCAGGGUGAGUCGACCCCUAAGGCGAGGCCGAAAGGCGUAGUCGAUGGGAAACAGGUUAAUAUUCCUGUACUUGGUGUUACUGCGAAGGGGGGACGGAGAAGGCUAUGUUGGCCGGGCGACGGUUGUCCCGGUUUAAGCGUGUAGGCUGGUUUUCCAGGCAAAUCCGGAAAAUCAAGGCUGAGGCGUGAUGACGAGGCACUACGGUGCUGAAGCAACAAAUGCCCUGCUUCCAGGAAAAGCCUCUAAGCAUCAGGUAACAUCAAAUCGUACCCCAAACCGACACAGGUGGUCAGGUAGAGAAUACCAAGGCGCUUGAGAGAACUCGGGUGAAGGAACUAGGCAAAAUGGUGCCGUAACUUCGGGAGAAGGCACGCUGAUAUGUAGGUGAAGCGACUUGCUCGUGGAGCUGAAAUCAGUCGAAGAUACCAGCUGGCUGCAACUGUUUAUUAAAAACACAGCACUGUGCAAACACGAAAGUGGACGUAUACGGUGUGACGCCUGCCCGGUGCCGGAAGGUUAAUUGAUGGGGUCAGCGCAAGCGAAGCUCUUGAUCGAAGCCCCGGUAAACGGCGGCCGUAACUAUAACGGUCCUAAGGUAGCGAAAUUCCUUGUCGGGUAAGUUCCGACCUGCACGAAUGGCGUAAUGAUGGCCAGGCUGUCUCCACCCGAGACUCAGUGAAAUUGAACUCGCUGUGAAGAUGCAGUGUACCCGCGGCAAGACGGAAAGACCCCGUGAACCUUUACUAUAGCUUGACACUGAACAUUGAGCCUUGAUGUGUAGGAUAGGUGGGAGGCUUUGAAGUGUGGACGCCAGUCUGCAUGGAGCCGACCUUGAAAUACCACCCUUUAAUGUUUGAUGUUCUAACGUGGACCCGUAAUCCGGGUUGCGGACAGUGUCUGGUGGGUAGUUUGACUGGGGCGGUCUCCUCCUAAAGAGUAACGGAGGAGCACGAAGGUUGGCUAAUCCUGGUCGGACAUCAGGAGGUUAGUGCAAUGGCAUAAGCCAGCUUGACUGCGAGCGUGACGGCGCGAGCAGGUGCGAAAGCAGGUCAUAGUGAUCCGGUGGUUCUGAAUGGAAGGGCCAUCGCUCAACGGAUAAAAGGUACUCCGGGGAUAACAGGCUGAUACCGCCCAAGAGUUCAUAUCGACGGCGGUGUUUGGCACCUCGAUGUCGGCUCAUCACAUCCUGGGGCUGAAGUAGGUCCCAAGGGUAUGGCUGUUCGCCAUUUAAAGUGGUACGCGAGCUGGGUUUAGAACGUCGUGAGACAGUUCGGUCCCUAUCUGCCGUGGGCGCUGGAGAAUUGAGGGGGGCUGCUCCUAGUACGAGAGGACCGGAGUGGACGCAUCACUGGUGUUCGGGUUGUCAUGCCAAUGGCACUGCCCGGUAGCUAAAUGCGGAAGAGAUAAGUGCUGAAAGCAUCUAAGCACGAAACUUGCCCCGAGAUGAGUUCUCCCUGACUCCUUGAGAGUCCUGAAGGAACGUUGAAGACGACGACGUUGAUAGGCCGGGUGUGUAAGCGCAGCGAUGCGUUGAGCUAACCGGUACUAAUGAACCGUGAGGCUUAACCUU
rnacentral:rRNA from 1 species